UUUGGGAAAUGAUGAUAAAAACAGAUUGGCAAAGGCACCAGCGAUGCUGAGAUUAUCCAUUUGCACGUCAGUCUGAUCCCUAG